rnacentral:lncRNA from 1 species
CAGCUGGACGCGCCCAGUUUUGCGCGUUAAACACGCGUUUUGCCACGUAGGAUCGGAGGUCAUAUUUGUGCAGUUUUUAAUAGUUAAAGGUCAUAUUUGUGCACUAUCAAAGUUUAAGGUCAAAGUUAGAGUAAAGUUUAGGGUCAUAUUUAUGUAUUAGAGAGAGAGAGAAAUAUCUGAUUUGUACGUGUUUAUGUGUGUGUUUUUAGAGAGAGAAAUAUCAGAUUUUGUGUGGAUGUGGAGUGUGUAUUUUUUGUGAAUGGAGUAUUUAAAAAAGAAAAGUAAUAAUUAAAUAAAUAAAUAAAUAUUAAGA